rnacentral:rRNA from 1 species
UACGUAGGCAGCGAGCGUUGUUCGGAAUUACUGGGCGUAAAGAGUGUGUAGGCGGUGCUCUAAGUUCGGUGUGAAAUCUCCUGCUCAACUGGGAGGGUGCGCCGGAAACUGGAGUGCUUGAGCGUGGGAGAGGAAAGCGGGAUUCCUGGUGUAGCGGUGAAAUGCGUAGAUAUCAGGAGGAACACCUGUGGUGUAGACGGCUUUCUGGACCAUAGCUGACGCUGAGACACGAAAGCGUGGGUAGCAAACAAGG